rnacentral:rRNA from 1 species
AAUGUGGGAAUCUGCCUUUUGGUUUGGAAUAACACGGGGAAACUUGUGCUAAUACCGAAUAAGCCUUUACAGGGAAAGUUUUAACGCCGAAAGAUGAGCCUGCACUUGAUUAGCUAGUUGGUAAGGUAAAAGCUUACCAAGGCAACGAUCAAUAGCUGUUCUUAGAGGAAGACCAGCCACAUUGGGACUGAGACACGGCCCAGACUCCUACGGGAGGCAGCAGUGGGGAAUCUUGCACAAUGGGGGAAACCCUGAUGCAGCGAUGCCGCGUGAGUGAAGAAGGCCUUUGGGUUGUAAAACUCUUUCGUCGGGGAAGAAAAUGACUGUACCCGAAUAAGAAGGUCCGGCUAACUUCGUGCCAGCAGCCGCGGUAAUACGAAGGGACCUAGCGUAGUUCGGAAUUACUGGGCUUAAAGAGCUCGUAGGUGGUUAAAAAAGUUGAUGGUGAAAUCCCAAGGCUCAACCUUGGAACUGCCAUCAAAACUUUUUAGCUAGAGUGUGAUAGAGGUAAGUGGAAUUUCUAGUGUAGAGGUGAAAUUCGUAGAUAUUAGAAAGAACACCAAAUGCGAAGGCAACUUACUGGGUCACUACUGACACUGAGGAGCGAAAGCAUGGGUAGCGAAGAGGAUUAGAUACCCUCGUAGUCCAUGCCGUAAACGAUGUGUGCUAGACGUUGGAAAUAUAUUUUUCAGUGUCGCAG